AUUGAACGCUGGCGGCAGGCUUAACACAUGCAAGUCGAGCGAGCGGCGGACGGGUGAGUAAUGUCUGGGAAACUGCCUGAUGGAGGGGGAUAACUACUGGAAACGGUAGCUAAUACCGCAUACCAUCAGAUGUGCCCAGAUGGGAUUAGCUAGUAGGUGGGGUAAUGGCUCACCUAGGCGCCGAUCCCUAGCUGGUCGGAGAGGAUGACAGGCAAAAAGGGAACUGGGCCACGGUCAAGACCCUGACGGGAGGCAGAAGUGGGGAAUAGUGCACAAGGGGCGCAAGCCGAAUGCAGCCAUGCCGCGUGUGGGAAGAAGGCCUUCGGGUUGUAAAGCACUUUCAGCGAGGAGGCGUUACUCGCAGAAGAAGCACCGGCUAACUCCGUGCCAGCAGCCGCGGUAAUUC
rnacentral:rRNA from 1 species